rnacentral:lncRNA from 1 species
CGGUCUGGCUCUCCCGGGCAGGCGCCUCAGGAAACUUCCCCGGCUCCGAUCGCUGCGCUCCACCUUUUAUUCUAAUGGGCUCCGCAUCGCCAUAGGAACCCGAGCCCGCCCGGGCGGCAGCGAGCGCCGCCGCUCCCGGGGCCGGGCACGGCCGGGGAUGGAUGCGGGAGCCCGGGGCAGCCGCCAGCCCUGGAGAGCCGGAGCCCAGCUCGGUGACGGGGCCCUGUGGGCACAGCCUGGCCCUGCUCCUGUCCCCACGCAGCUGCAGCCAGGUGGGUGCCCCUGUUCCUCGGGAAUCAGCUCCUCCUGUCCUUGCUGGGUCCAUCCUGGGGCAGCUCCAGGCCUCCCUGAGCAGCCCCUGUGUCCCCACAGGUCCUUUUUGGUGGGGAUGCCGUGGGAUUUGGGGUCCCAAAGGGUCCCUCAGCGCCAGCCUGGGUCUCUCCAGGGAUUGCUGGGCAUUCACGGUCAGAGGGGCAGUCCCUGCACCAGCGCCUGGAGCUGCCCACCCGUGCCUUGUGCCCUCACCAGUGGCUUGCCAGGAAACCCAGAACUCCCUGAGCACCUCCUGAUCCUGUUGCUGCAUCCCGUGGCUGGUUCCUCCUCCCCAGCCAUCCCUGCUUUCCCCACAUCCCAUUCCUUCUCCUUCACCAUCUGUUUUUCCACAUCCAAUCCCUCCUCCCUCACCAUCCCUGCUUCCCCCACACUCAAUUCCUCCUCCCUCACCAUCUCUGCUUUCCUCGUGGCCAAUUCCUCCUCCCUCCCCAUCUCUCCAUGCCUGUACCCAUUCCCUGCUCCCUCACCAGCUCUGUUUUUCCCUGCAGGAGCUCUGGACUCACCCACGAGCCGAUCCCGAGGGUUUCCCCAUGGAAUAGGAGCUUUUCCAGGUGCCUGGGCACACGAGAAGCUGAAGUUGGUCGCCCCGGGGCACCCGAACCCGCCGUGCCCUGGAGCCCCCGGCCUCUGCCAUGAAUGAUGCAUCCACCAUGGAUUAUGAACUGCUCUCCCCGUCCCUGGUGGAGCACCCCGCCGGCGCCGCGGGCAUGGAUGCCGAGCAGAAAACUGUCUUUGCCUUCGUCAUCUUCCUCCUGGUGUUCCUGGUGAUGCUGAUGGUGCGCUGCUUCCGCAUCCUGCUGGACCCCUACAGCCGCAUGCCCGCCUCCUCCUGGACGGACCACAAGGAGGGCUUGGAGCGGGGCCAGUUCGACUACGCCCUGGUGUGAGGGGAGCCCGGGCCGAGCUCCAGCCCCGCUGCCCCUCCAUCCAUCCAUCCAUCCAUCCAUCCAUCCAUCCAUCCAUCCAUCCAUCCAUCCAUCCAUCCAUCCAUCCCUCCCUCCCUCCCUCCCUCCCUCCCUCUGCAGGGAUGCUCCAGGCCGGGGGGCGAGCAGGGGGUCCGGCCCCAGGGAGGUUUUCUAGGCGUUUCUCUCUUUUCUAAGCACUUUUCUCUCGGCAGCCCGCGGGACGCUGGGGGUGGGACAGGGGGGCUGGACGGGGACCCCGGUGCCCCCCGUGCCCCCGGGCACCGCGGACGGGGCAUGGCGGGACCUGCCCUCGGCCCGCGGGGCCCCUGGGCUGGGCUGGGCUCUGCCCGGUGCCAGGCCCGAGCUUUGACCCCCGCUGCCCCCCGUGAGUGCCCCCCGGCAGUGCCCCCGUGGUCCAGUGCGUGUCCGUGUGUCCUGUAGCUGAGCUGUGUCCGUCAGGGGUUUCUCGGCACCGGCCCCCAGUGCUGGCUUUGUUCCUCCUCUGCGCCACUCCCGAGCCCCCCCAAAAGGGAGGGGAGGCUGGAGACCCCUCUGUGCAGCCCCCCUUGGGCUCCAGUCCUGUCCGUGCCCAGCUGGUGACAAUGGAGCCAGGGGCACUCCUGGCCUGGGGACACCAGGACGGGUCAGGGGUCCCCAAAACACCCGGGAGAGGCUCCUGGGCCAUCCCUGCCGGGGUGUCCGGCCCUCCCCGGGCUCUCCAGGGCUCUGCAAGUGGCCGAGGGGCUGCCAAGGGCCGUGGUGGGCAGCGGGAGGGUCCUGCCAAGGGAUUUGGGCCCGGUGGGGAGGGAGAACCUCGCCCCCCUCAAUGGAAAUGAAGGGAUUUGGAAAUGAAGGGAUUUGGAAAUAAAGCAGCACCGUGCCGACCCCA